UUUUUUUUUUUUUUUAAUAGUUGAUCUCUAGAAAUUCAAGUGUGCUCUACCUAGGCUUUGGGGGAAAUUUGUGUCAUGAGUUCACUGACUCUCUUGAACUAUAAAUUCACAUUUCACUAACUUUCAGUAAUUAUAUUUGCAGAAACCUCUUUCUACUACAUUUUCUUAGUUUUAUCCAGGCACUCUAAUUAGCAUAUCUGUCUAAUUAGCAUUAAUCAUCGGCAGGUGAUUAACAUGAACACUCUCUUGUCGAAACAUCUCGGCAUGUGUCAUUUGUACUUGGGUUAUUUUGUUCCUAAUUUAGGCCAAGCAUUAAGAUAUUUAGUGUAGUUGGGAAAGUUAGAAUGUCUCACUGAGUAUCGGAGCCGAGGUUGGCAGUUUAGACUUUAGCCAUGUGUGUGGCCCAGCAGUGCAACACUAACUUACUUCCCAAGGCCCUGGGUGUGAUCCCAGCUCCACAGCAAGCUAAUUAAGAAGGUAAACUUUGUGACAAUAAAUAUCACAAUUGCUGAGGUUUUGCCUGUUUGUUUGGUAAUCCAUUUGGUUAUUUUGUGGCUUUCUGAGACAAGUUCUCACUCCUUAGCCCAAGUCUGCCUUCACCUGGCAGUCCCCCUGCCUCAGGCUCCGGGACACUGAAAUUUUAAGCUUGGACCUUGACGUGUAUCUCCCUAUGGUUCUGUGGUUGUUGUUUGUUUUGUAACUGAUGUUGUUACAAUUUAAGCAAAUUAAUUAAAACACCUAUCUAUCUAUUUCUUGCUCUGUGGCAAUAGAGCCUAGUCUAUGUGUUCCAUAUAUUCUUUAUGCAGUCCUGGUUCAUCUGUAUUCUUGACAUUUUUAUACAAAUGCACCUGAUUUGAUCGAGAAUAAAUUUGAAUCUUCGACAGUAUUCUGUGAGGCUCCGAGUAACGGACAGCCGCCAACUGAAGUGCAAGAUUCAUUCAGGACGAUUCUCAGAGACCUGCUUUGUCUCUGCCAACUUUAUCUCUGUAGCCUGCCUUCUAAAUUACUUUUAUGAAGUUUCACGCUUUGGAAGUGCUUGCCCAAUUAAAAAAAAAAAACAACAUUUUUUUAAAAGGCUCCUCACACUUUACAUAUUGUCCUAAGUAGAAGACAGAAAGGCUUUUUUGCCAGCCAUAGAAGUGAUGUAAAAACGCCAGGUCCUUCUCCUGUGAUUCCAUUGAUUUCCCCUUCCUGUUCUCCAGUUAGGCAUUUCCUCCCACGAGAACGCCACUCCCGUGAAGCUGGUUCACAACGCAGCAGGCCAUCUCAACGGGCCGGCUCGCACUAUCGGGGCCGCUCUCAUUGGAUACUUGGGUGCGUUAAACCAUCUUUGUUUACACAAAUAAUGGGGGUGGGGGAAUGUUUCAAGCUAAUAUUUUGAAGCACUUGACCUGUCGUGUUCCUGCAGUGCUUACAGAUUAGUCCCAAAUUUCAGUCAAAUUUAAAAAUCAUGUGCUCUUGAAAUCUCCUUACCCCGUGUGCUCCUGUACUGGCUGCAAACGGCAUAUAGAAAAGGAGUGAAGAGCAAACCAAGUGAUGGUCACAUCAGAGUUCGGUUAGUGAUGGUCCAGCUCCUGUUACCUAGCAACGAGCUAAAAGAACUGGAACUGGAACUCCCUAGGAGAGCCCGUGACUAGUGAAUGAGAAGGCCUAGGUUCAAGGCCCAGCGCCUCCAAACAACAGAGGGAAGAGCUUCUGGGUGUAGCUUUAAUGACUGACAGAGUUGCUGCAUCCUCUGGAGUACUGUGCCUUCUGUCCUUAUACAGAGUUGACGUUGGUGGUUAGCAAGAUCUGAGAUCUAAACAAUGCAGUUGAGCUACCUAGUCUUCAGGAGCAGUUUGUGUGUGGUACCAAUUCCUUGUUAGAUUAACAAACAGUCUUAAUUGUUCCUCAGCUACUUAGGGAGCACUGAUCUAGGGAGCACUGCUUUACAUCCAGAGUGUGGUACAGUGCAAAGCAAUAAACAAAGCCUCUGUAGAGCAGGCUCCAGCUUCCGCCCUCAUACUUAGUGAUUCAGGCCAACCACUUACACUCUUUAGACUUCACUUUUCUUCCCUAUAAAGUCACACCCUGAGAGCCUUAGAAAGUAGCUUUCAAAAUCCAGCAUUGUCGUGUAUUGAAAUGUUACAAUUUGUUGCCAAGCAUUUUUUUUAAAUAAAAAAAUGUAUGAAACGUUUUAAUGAAAAUAGUUAAAGCUUAUGCAUGUCUUGUUUACACAGUUAAUGUAUUGUAACUAUUUUCACUCUCUAUUCAAUCAGGAGUAAGAACAUUUGUCCCUAAGCCUGUCGCCACUACUUUACAGUACAUUGGAGGAGCUGCAGCCAUCCUUGGCCUAGUGGCCAUGGCCUCUGAUGUGGAAGGCUUGUAUGCAGCAGUCAAGGCCCUGGUCUGUGUAGUCAAGAGCAACCCGCUAGCCAGCAAGGAGAUGGAAAGAAUCAAGGGAUACCAGGUCUGUGCUGUCACUUUACACCAUGGGAGCUCAUGGCCAUUAUUCAUAUUUUCUUAAACUCUGGAAGCAUUAUAUUGUCCACAUGAACUUAAAAGCCAUCGGCUUUUGUUAAAC
rnacentral:lncRNA from 1 species